GAUGAACGCUGGCGGCGUGCCUAAUACAUGCAAGUCGAGCGAACGGACGAGAAGCUUGCUUCUCUGAUGUUAGCGGCGGACGGGUGAGUAACACGUGGAUAACCUACCUAUAAGACUGGGAUAACUUCGGGAAACCGGAGCUAAUACCGGAUGAUAUUUUGAACCGCAUGGUUCAAAAGUGAAAGACGGUCUUGCUGUCACUUAUAGAUGGAUCCGCGCUGCAUUAGCUAGUUGGUAAGGUAACGGCUUACCAAGGCAACGAUGCAUAGCCGACCUGAGAGGGGGAACGGCCACACUGGAACUGAGACACGGCCCAGAGUCCUACGGGAGGCAGCAGUAGGGAAGCUUGCGCAAUGGGCGAAAGCCUGACGGAGCAACGCCGCGUGAGUGAUGAAGGUCUUCGGAUCGUAAAACUCUGUUAUUAGGGAAGAACAUAUGUGUAAGUAACUGUGCACAUCUUGACGGUACCUAAUCAGAAAGCCACGGCUAACUACGUG
rnacentral:rRNA from 1 species